GAUGAACGCUGGCGGCGUGCUUAACACAUGCAAGUCGAACGGUGAAGCAGGAGCUUGCUCUUGUGGAUCAGUGGCGAACGGGUGAGUAACACGUGAGCAACCUGCCCCUGACUCUGGGAUAAGCGCUGGAAACGGCGUCUAAUACUGGAUAUGUGAUGUGACCGCAUGGUCUGCAUCUGGAAAGAAUUUCGGUUGGGGAUGGGCUCGCGGCCUAUCAGCUUGUUGGUGAGGUAACGGCUCACCAAGGCGUCGAUGGGUAGCCGGCCUGAGAGGGUGACCGGCCACACUGGGACUGAGACACGGCCCAGACUCCUACGGGAGGCAGCAGUGGGGAAUAUUGCACAAUGGGCGGAAGCCUGAUGCAGCAACGCCGCGUGAGGGAUGACGGCCUUCGGGUUGUAAACCUCUUUUAGCAGGGAAGAAGCGAAAGUGACGGUACCUGCAGAAAAAGCACCGGCUAACUACGUGCCAGCAGCCGCCGUAA
rnacentral:rRNA from 1 species